rnacentral:rRNA from 1 species
GACGAACGCUGGCGGCGUGCCUAACACAUGCAAGUCGAACGGAACUGUUUUGAAAGAUUUCUUCGGAAUGAAUUUGAUGUAGUUUAGUGGCGGACGGGUGAGUAACGCGUGAGUAACCUGCCUUCAAGAGGGGAAUAACAUUCUGAAAAGAAUGCUAAUACCGCAUGACAUAUCGGAACCACAUGGUUUUGAUAUCAAAGAUUAUAUCGCUUGAAGAUGGACUCGCGUCCGAUUAGUUAGUUGGUGAGGUAACGGCUCACCAAGACCGCGAUCGGUAGCCGGACUGGGAGGUUGGACGGCCCCAUUGGGACUGAGGCCCGGCCCAGGCUCCUACGGGAGGCAGCCGUGAGGGAUAUUGCGCAAUGGGGGCAACCCUGACGCAGCAACGCCGCGUGAAGGAUGAAGGUUUUCGGAUUGUAAACUUCUUUUAUUAAGGACGGAAAAUGACGGUACUUAAUGAAUAAGCUCCGGCUAACUACGUG